UGGAGCUUUGGAAAGACAUUAUGAUCAAUAAGGAUUAGCAAUUGACGAGUGCAGAUUUGGCUAAGUUCAAUAAGUAUCCAAAAGAUAAACUACAAUUAUUGGCUAAGACGUGCCUAUACGUAGUGCAACAAGUUGAAACAAAGGACCAUGGAAAGAACUCACAAAAUAAGCAAAUAGCCUGGAUUUUCCCUUUUUCAUGAAUAUGCCCCGGAUUUCCAAAAGAUACUAGUAGGAAUCAAACUUUUUUUUACUAUUUUUUUAUAUAUUUCUCUGAGCAAGGAUCAUAAAAGACGCAACCAUAAAAAUUGACACCUACAACUGAGGUGGGAUGUGGUCUACAGAAAUUGACCACGUUCUCUAAAAAGCAUGCAAAAACUUUAACAAUUUUUUUCUUUAUUUUUUCGUUUUUUUGGAAAUUUUGAUGAGACCAAACAGGGCGAAGCCAAGUUUGGGUCAGCUCCAAAUGGUGUCAAGAAGCUGUUGUAAAAAUUUUAGAUUUUUUUGAUAAACGAGCGAAAAGUUAUGCGUGUUUUACGUAUCUCAAGUUAUGGUUUUUAGAAGGCACAAUACGGCGGCGGCGGCGGCAGUUAGGGCACAGCGUCCCAGGUGAUCUCUUGGUGGGACCUGGCAUGGAACUUGGGGUUGGUGAUCCUAUCAUCAGCUUUGGCGACAUUCAUGAUAGCUCAGGCAAGAAGCUUCUUCUUGCGUGAGUCUCCAUGGAUACUUUGCUGUCGAAGAUGGAGUGAACAGUGUGCAUAGGACUCUGGUGCCGAUGAAGGGGACCCUUGUCCUGGUUUUAGCUGUCACAAGCAACUCCUGCACCUAGGCCGGUCGCUUACGGAGUAGCUUGGCCUUGAGAUUGUCGUGGUAGUGGAGACCCUUGAUGAAGGCUGAGACCGCAUCGGUUGCUUGCAUGCAUCCUCCACCUUCUCUUUGUCAAUUAGGUAUUUCCUAGUGGAGAAGAUAGUGACUAAAUUUGUCAACUAAGUGUUGAUUUGAAAUCCAUUCUAGUUUGAUAUUCAUUUUGACGAGUCGGGGUUCAAAUCGAGCUCAAUUGCUUCUUUUUUUUAAGCUCAACUGCU
rnacentral:lncRNA from 1 species